GCCGUUAGCUCAGUUGGUAGAGCAUGAGACUUUUAAUCUCAGAGUCAUGGGUUUGAACCCCCACAUUGGGCA